GCCAGUGAUCUCAUGGACAGCAGCCCCCUAAGGAACAUUGGAAGAGGCAAACAUGGCAAAAUCAAGAAACCACGUGGGGGACUUCUUGGAGGAGUUCAGAGAGCAGAUCAUUGCGCAGGUGAGAUUAUCUGGGCCCAUAGUAGACGCUGUGAUCUCACAACAUCUUAUCCCAGAAGAGCUGGCACACAGCGUCCGUGCAGCCCAGACCACACAAGACCAGAUGAGGGCUCUGUUUGAAGCCGUAGAGAGAGAGACACCACAAACCAAACUUGCAUUCCAUCUGAUAUUGAGACGGAAAGAGCCUGAACUCAUGGACAAGCUAGAGCAGAGACAACGAAACAGUAAGAUGACACAGACAGGAUUGGAUCAAAGGUAUGGAGAUACCACAACAUUAGAGGAUAAGACCACACCAAAACUUGGCAUACAGACAAAAAAGGAAUCUCUUAAGAGACGAAGACAAGAAACAAUGCAAGCAAUUGAGGAGAUUGAAAAACUUUGGGAGGGGUCAAGAAGGGAGAGAAAUGAAACUAACUACAUGAAAGCAAAGAUUAAGCAACAACAAGAGGAAAUAGAAAGGCUAAUGGCUGAGAAACAAGAGCAAAACACAAAGAUGGAGCUGAUGAGGAUGGAGAUCCAGAAUGUGAAUGAAAAACUGAAACAGAACAUGGAGGAAAUAAAUAUAGAGAAAGACGGAAUACGACAAAUGUGGGCUGAUGUCCAAACAGAGAAAGACAUUCUGGAGAGAAGAUACAAUGAGACCAUUAACGAGAGACAGAGUUUGGAAUUGAUCAAGUAUGAGACAUUGAGAGCAAAAGAGGAGAUGGAGCACUGCAAGGAAACAACCAAACAAGAGCAGGAGAAAAUGGAACAGAUUAAGGCUGACAUUCAGGGACAGAUAGAGGACAUGGAAAUAAGAAUUGCAGAAACCAAUCAAGUAAAAGAAAAAAUGGAAGCGAUGAAGGCCGAUGUACACAGGGAGCAAGGUCAGCUGGAGACAAAAAGAGAUGACAUUAAAAGACAAAAAGAACAGUUUGAGCAGAUUAAAUGUGAGAUAAACAAAGUAAAAGAAGAGAUGGAUCGAAGGUGGUAUGAAACGGAGAAAGAAGAGCUUGAGCAGAGAGUUAGGAUCCAGCAAGAGAAAGAGGAACUUGCCAACGUAAAAGCUGAGCUGCAGAGAGCAAAAGAGGAGGUUGAUCAAAACAGGGAGAAGACGAAGCAAGAGAAGGACCUGGUCAACAAAAUGAAAGCAGAAAUUCUUCUAGAAAAGGAUUCACUUGAGAAGGACAAACAAGAAACAUUACGAAAACAAAAGGAGUUGGAGCAGAUCAAGUAUGCGAUUCAAAUGGACAAAGAGGAGAUUGAGCAAAACAGAGAGGAAGCAAAGCGAGAGAAUGAUAAGAUGGAACAGAGGGAAGCUGAACUGCAGAGACAAGUGGAAAAGAUUGAGAGAAACAUUGAGGAGACAAAGCAAGAAAAUUACAGAAUGGAAAACGUAAAAGCAGAGAUACAGAGAACGAAAGAAGCCCUGGAGAAACAAAAAGAUGACACCAGGCGAGUGAAGGAGGAAAUGGAGAAAAGAAGGUAUGAGACUGUCAAGGAGGAGCUGGAGCAGAGAGCUGAAAUACAGAGACAGAGAGAAGAAGUGGAAAUGCUCAAGUCUGAAAUGCAGAAAGCCAAGGACGUUGAAAAAACAAGAGGAAACCGAGAGAGAGAGGAAGCCAAAAAGUGGAGUGAAGAAGUAAAACGACAGAGAGAUGGGAUCAAACAAUUGAGAGCUGAAGUUCAGAAGGAAAAAGACAACGUGGAGAGGAAAAAGCAAGAGACAAUGAGAGAGAGACAAGAAUUGGAGAGGAUUCAUUUUGAAACGCUGAGAAUGAAAGAGGAGAAUGAGCAAAGCAGGGAGAUCACAAGAAGAGAAAAGGAGCAAAUGGAGCAGAUGAAAGUUAAUAUACAGAGACAGAUAGAAGAUAUAGAAGAAAAAGUUACAGAGACAAAACAAGCAAAAGACAAAAUGGAAGAAAUGAAAGCAGAGAUACAGAGACAACGUGAAGAUUUGGAGAGUAGAAGGGAAAAGACAGAGAAAGAGAGAGCGCAUUAUGAAGAGGUUAAGUGUGAGAUAAUUCAAUUGAAAGAGGAAAUGGAAAGGAAAUGGUGUGAAACAGAGAAAGACGAGGUGGAACAGAGAGCAAGAGCGCAGCAAGAGACGGAAACACUUGAAAGGUUGAAGGAGGAAAAACAGAAAGUGCGAGAGGAAAUAGAAAGAAACAAGGUGGAAACGCAACGAGAAAGAGAGAACCUAGAAAAAAUGAAAGCCCGUGUGAAAGACGAGAAGAACAUUGCAGAGAAAAUAUCAGAAGAGGCCAAGAUAAAGAAUGAGGACUUAACGGAAAUGGAGCGUAACCUUCAGGAAGAAAGGGAAGAGAUCGAGAGGAGCAAGCAAGUCACAAAGCAAGAGAAGGAAGAGAUCGUAGAGAUGAAGGCUGAACUCCAAAGACAAAUGACAGAAAUAGAGAACCGUGUGAAGGAGACAAACAGAGCAAAAUAUGAGGUGGAUCAGGCAAAGCUGGUCGUACAAAAAGUGGAGUCCCAGCUGAAAAAGCAAAGAGACGAGGCUGGAAGAACAAAAGAGGAAAUUGAGAAACAGAGAUAUGAAGCAGUGAAAGAAGAGCUUGAGCAACGAGCUGAAAUCCAACGAGAAAGAGAAAUGUUGGAGAAAGUAAGAGACGAGAUACGGAGAGCCGAAGAAGACUCCGAAAAAACACAGCUUCAGAGCGAAAAAGGGGACUUACAAAAGAAGAUGGAUGAAAUACAGCAAGAGAGGGAGAUGCUUGAGCAAAUUAAAACAGAGGUUUUGUCAGAAAGGGCCAUGUUGAAAAGACAAAUCCAUGAAACCGCAAGAGAAAGAGAGGACUUGGAAUUGCUUCGGUGUGAGACCCUGGAGAAAAAGCUGGAGCUUGAGAAAAAGAAGGAUGAAGCUGUCAAGGAAGAGCUUGAACUGAGAGCUGAAAUGCAGAGAGAUAGAGAGGAGAUAGAGAGAACCAAGAAGAAAAUAGAGAGGGAGUUAAAACAAGGCAGGGAUGCCACAAGUCUAGAGAGAGGCGAAGUGGAACUGAUGAAGGUUGAAGUACAGAACCAGCAUGAGGAAAUGACUAGAUCCAUUGAGAGGACAAGGCAAGCCAGAGACGUGAUGGAACAGAUGAAGGAUGAAAUUCAGAGAGAAAAACAACUUUUGGAGAGAAUAAGGGAAGAAACAAUAAGAGAGAAAGAACCCUAUGAAACGGUCAAGGAUGAGCUAAACAGAGUAAAAGAAGAGAUGGAAAAACUCUGGGACGAGGUACAGAGGGACGACCAGGAAGAGAGAGCCAAACUGCAUCAAGAAAAUGUGGAGCUGAAUAAGAGAAUGGAGGAAAUUAAGACAGAGAUUAGCCAGAUAGAAACAAUUAAAUUUGACCUAGAGAGACAGAGAGAUGAGAUUGAAGCAAGGAUGGAGAAGACAAAGAGAGAGAUGGACAAGCUGGAACAAACAAAGGCUGAAAUACAAAGACAGAAAGAGGACAUUGAAAACAAGAUGACAGAAACAAAGAGUGAGAAAGAGGAGAUGGAAAAGAUCAAAUCUGAGAUACAGAAGCAGAAAGAGGACAUUGAAAACAAAAUGCAACAAGCAGAGACAGAAAUGGAUGAGCUGAAAAGUGUGAGGGAAGAUAUUCAGAGGCAGAGACAAGAGGUUGAGAACAUGAUGCAGAAGGCCAAGAGAGAGAUUGGAGAGAUGGAACUAGUGAAGACUGAGAUGCAAAGGAAGAAAAAGGACCUUGAACAGAUGAUGAGAAAGACUAAGAGAAAAAAGGAAGAAAUGGAAAAGAUGAAGGAUGAAAUAGAGAGAGCGGAAGAAGAGAUGGAACAAAGAAGGGAAGAGACCAAAAGGGAGAGAGAUGCAAUUGAACAGGCGAAGGCUGAAAUAGAAAGAGCAAAAGAGGAACUGGAGAUUCGUCUGGAAGAGGGCUUUAGAGAUAUUGAUGAGAAGGAACAGAUGAACGCUGAGAUACAGAGAUUAAUCCAAGAGGUAGAGCGAACCAGAGAAAUGGUACGACAAACAAAAGUGGCAAUGGAAAACAGGAUGGAAGAAAGCAAUAUGGAGAUGUGUGACAAAGACAGAGUGAAUGCUGUAAUCCAGAGGUUGAUUCUAGAGGUGGAACAAACCAGAGAGGUGUUAAGAAGGGUGAAAGAAGAAAUGGAACUGAGCAAGGGGGAGUUAAAAGGGGAAAAGGACAAAAUCAGACUGAUGAAGACGGAGACACAAAAAAGAAAAAAAGAGCUGGAGCAAAGGAUGGAGAAGAUCAUGCGAGAGAGGGAUGAGUUAGAACUGGUGAAGUCAAAGAUACAGAGACAACGGGAAGAGCUGAAACAGAAGAUGGAAGAUGGAAAGACUGAGAGUGAAAAGAUGGAACAGAUGAAAGAUGAAAUUGAGAAACAGAGAUGUGAACAACGAGCUGAAAUCCAAAGAGAAAGAGAAAUGUUGGAGAAAGUAAGAGACGAGAUACGGAGAGCCGAAGACGAUUCCGAAGAAAUACAGUUUCAGAGCGAAAAAGGGGACUUACAAAAGAAGAUGGAUGAAACAAAGCAAGAGAGGGAGAUGCUUGAGCAAAUUAAAACAGAGGUUUUGUCAGAAAGGGCCAUGUUGAAAAGACAAAUCCAUGAAACCACAAGAGAAAGAGAGGACUUGGAAUUGCUUCGGUGUGAAACCCUGAAGAAAAAGCUGGAGCUUGAGAAAAAGCAGGAGGAAGCUGUCAAGGAAGAGCUUGAACUGAGAGCUGAAAUACAGAGAGAUAGAGAAGAGAUAGAGAGAACCAAGAAGAAAAUAGAGAGGGAGUUAAAACAAGGCAGGGAUGCCACAAGUCUAGAGAGAGGCGAAGUGGAACGGAUGAAGGUUGAAGUACAGAACCAGCAUGAGGAAAUGACUAGAUCCAUUGAGAGGACAAGGCAAGCCAGAGACGUGAUGGAACAGAUGAAGGAUGAAAUUCAGAGAGAAAAACAACUUUUGGAGAGAAUAAGGGAAGAAACAAUAAGAGAGAAAGAACCCUAUGAAACGGUCAAGGAUGAGCUAAGCAGAGUAAAAGAAGAGAUGGAAAAACUCUGGGACGAGGUACAGAGGGACGAGCAGGAAGAGAGAGCCAAACUGCAUCGAGAUAAUGUGGAGCUGAAUAAGAGAAUGGAGGAAAUUAAGACAGAGAUUAACCAGAUAGAAACAAUUAAAUUUGACCUAGAGAGACAGAGAGAUGAGAUUGAAGCAAGGAUGGAGAAGACAAUGAGAGAGAUGGACAAGCUGGAACAAACAAAGGCUGAAAUACAAAGACAGAAAGAGGACAUUGAAAACAAGAUGACAGAAACAAAGAGUGAGAAAGAGGAGAUGGAAAGGAUCAAAUCUGAGAUACAGAAGCAGAAAGAGGAAAUUGAAAACAAAAUGCAACAAGCAGAGACAGAAAUGGAUGAGCUGAAAAGUGUGAGGGAAGAUAUUCAGAGGCAGAGACAAGAGGUCGAGAACAUGAUGCAGAAGACCAAGAGAGAGAUUGGAGAGAUGGAACUAGUGAAGACUGAGAUGCAAAGGAAGAAAAAGGACCUUGAACAGAUGAUGAGAAAGACUAAGAGAAAAAGGGAAGAAAUGGAAAAGAUGAAGGAUGAAAUAGAGAGAGCGGAAGAAGAGAUGGAACAAAGAAGGGAAGAGACCAAAAGGGAGAGAGAUGCAAUUGAACAGGCGAAGGCUGAAAUAGAAAGAGCAAAAGAGGAACUGGAGAUUCGUCUGGAAGAGGGCUUUAGAGAUAUUGAUGAGAAGGAACAGAUGAACGCUGAGAUACAGAGAUUAAUCCAAGAGGUAGAGCGAACCAGAGAAAUGGUACGACAAACAAAAGUGGCAAUGGAAAACAGGAUGGAAGAAAGCAAUAUGGAGAUGGGUGACAAAGACAGAGUGAAUGCUGUAAUCCAGAGGUUGAUUCUAGAGGUGGAACAAACCAGAGAGGUGUUAAGAAGGGUGAAAGAAGAAAUGGAACUGAGCAAGGGGGAGUUAAAAGGGGAAAAGGACAAAAUCAGACUGAUGAAGACGGAGACACAAAAAAGAAAAAAAGAGCUGGAGCAAAGGAUGGAGAAGAUCAUGCGAGAGAGGGAUGAGUUAGAACUGGUGAAGUCAAAGAUACAGAGACAACGGGAAGAGCUGAAACAGAAGAUGGAAGAUGGAAAGACUGAGAGUGAAAAGAUGGAACAGAUGAAAGAUGAAAUACAGAGAGCGGUUGCAGAGAUAGACCUGGCAAGGGAGGAGAUACAAAGGGAAAAAAGGAAGAUUAAAGAGGACAAUGCAAGGGAAGAGAAGGAUAUGAUGGAGUCUAUGAAAGCUGAGCUUGACAGACAGAAAGAGGGAAAAAACAGAAGGAAAAAAGAAAUGCCAAUGAUGAAGACCACGGUCCAGAGGCCACAGGAUGAAACAGAGAAAGCCUACCUUGGAGAUACAACAACUGAGAUACCAUUUGAGUCACAAGAGCUAAGAACCGCCAUUGAAAAAGAAAGAAGAGACUUGGAACGCAGAGAGAAAAUGAUUAUGAGAGAGAAGUAUGACCUGGAAAAGUCAAAAGCCGAGUUUGAGAAGGAAAAGGCGGGGAUGGAGAACAUGAUCACAAAACAACGAGAGGAGAGCAGACAAAUGAUUGAGGACAUAGAAAAGAAAAAAGAAAAUCUCGAGCAAAUGGAUGCAGAGAUGCAAAGGAAAAGACAGGUCAUCGUAAGGGAAAUGCAAUAUAAAACACAAAAGAUGCAGGAUUUAAAAAAAGCAAAAGAUAAAUUUAAACAAACGCAAGUUAAAUUUAGCAAAGAGAAAAUUGAAAUGGGAAACAUCAAAAAGGCUACCUUGGCGGAAAGAAAUAAACUAGCAGUAGAGCAAGCUUACAUAGAGAAACGUAAGGAGGAGAUGGAAGCCAUCCUGGAAACGACAAAGAAGGAGAAUGAAGAUCUGCUGAACUUAAAAGCUCAAAUAGAGGGAUGGAAAGAAGACAAAGACGAACGGGGUGAACGCCUGAACAGGGAGAGAAAGGAACUUGAAUAUCUGAAAAGUAAGAUUCAAAAAGAAAAAGAGGAUACGAUAAGAAACAGGAACAUUUCGGAAAAAGAGAAAAAGGACUUGGAGCUGAUGAGAUCUGAAAUGCAGAAAGAAAAGGGGAAGAUGGAACAAGAGAAGCUUAAGGUACAAGUUGAGAGACAAAAGCUUGAACAAAUGAAACUGGAGUUACAGAGAAAGUCCAACGACCUAGAUAUGAUCAUAGAAGACACAAAGAGGGAGAAAGUCAGUGCAUCACAAAUUCCUGUCCAAAUACAACAACAAAAGAACCAAAUUGAUUGUUUUGUGGAAGAGACAAAGAGGAGUAAAAUCGAAGAAGAAUUGAUGAGCGCUGAAAUAAAAAGACAGAAAGAGGAGAUAGACAGCAAACAAGACAUUCUAUCAAAUGAGAGAGAAGAUCUGAAUAAACUCAGAACAGAGGUAAACAAUCAGAGAGAAGAGAUUGAAAAUAUCACGCAAGAGCAAAUUAAAGAAACAUUUCUAAUUAAUCAGACAAAGACAGAGAUGGAAAAAGAGAGAUGUGAGAUGGACAGAAUAAAGAAAAUGAUAGAGCAGAAUAUGGAUGAGCUAGAGCAGAGAAAGUGUGAGAUGAGAAAAGUAGAAAACAUAAUUAUCGAACUGAGAAAAGAAGAAGAGAGUAUAACGAAUGAGAUGAACAGGAUGAGAAAGAACACAGAGCAGAAAAGUUUUGAAAUGCAGAGACGGUCUGAAGACAUGAAUCAGCUAAUGGAUGAGACAAGACGGGAGAGGGGGAAGGUUGAAGAACUGGCUAUCCAAACUCAAAAACAAAGAGAAGAAAUGGUGGGUUUUAUGGAAAAGAACAAACAAAAGCAGAACGAACUGGAACUCAUGACUGACAAGAUUGAAAGAGAGAAACAAGACAUCGAAGACAGUCGGGAUGUGCUAACAAAGGAGAGAGAGGAGCUGGAACAAAUGAGGAGUGAGAUACAGCAACAGAGAGAGGAGACAGAAUCUCACAUGGAAGACCAAAGGAAAGAGAAAGAACAUUUGGAACAAAUGACGACGGACAUGAAAAAACAGUUGCUAGAGGUGGACAAUGACAAGGAAAUGAUACAAAGCUCAAUGGGUGAACUGAGAGUGAAAGAGGCAGAAAUGGUGAGAGAAAAAGACAACAUGGAUAACAAGAUGGCUAGGCUCAAAGAGGAAGAGGAUAGAAUGCGGGAAGAAAUAGGAAGGAAGAUGGACAUCUUAAAGCAGGAAAGUUGUGAAAUCAAAAGACUUAGAGAUGAAAUUGACAGUGAAAAGGACCAGCUGAAUGCAAAAUUGCUUGAGUUGGAAAAAAUGCAUGAAGAACUAGAUAGAGAGAAGAAGGAAGUGAAAGACAGGAAGGAUGAAACACUGAAAGAGAAAGAUCAGUUGGAAGAGAGGCGAGGUAAGAUAAGUAAGGAGAAAGAGGAUAUCAGUCUUGAACUGAUGAAAAGACAAAGGGAAGACUUGAUGAGCUUGAAGGCUGAAGCAGAAGUACAGACCGAGCCUAUGGAAACAGACUGGAAGGAAAAGCUCACGAGGGAAAGACAACAACUUGAAGAUGUAAAGGAGGAGAUACAGAAGGAAAAAGAAGCCUUUGAGAGAAAGAAGGGAUUGGCCAUGAAAGAAAGAGAUGAGUUUGAUCUGAUGAAGUCUGAAACCCAGGGACAAUUGGAGGAAAUAGAACAAAACAAACAAGACAUUCGUGUGGAGAAGGAAAAGCUGGAUCAGAUCAAAGCUGAGUUAGAAAGACGGUCUGAAGACAUCAAUCAGCUCAUGGUUGAGACAAGACGGGAGAGGGGGAAGGUUGAAGAACUGGCUAUCCAAACUAAAAAACAAAGAGAAGAAAUGGUGGGUUUUAUGGAAAAGAACAAACAAAAGCAAAACGAACUGGAACUCAUGACUGACAAGAUUGAAAGAGAGAAACAAGACAUCGAAGACAGUCGAGAUGUGCUAACAAAGGAGAGAGAGGAGCUGGAACAAAUGAGGAGUGAGAUACAGCAACAGAGAGAGGAGACAGAAUCUCACAUGGAAGACCAAAGGAAAGAGAAAGAACAUUUGGAACAAAUGACGACGGACAUGAAAAAACAGUUGCUAGAGGUGGACAAUGACAAGGAAAUGAUACAAAGCUCAAUGGGUGAACUGAGAGUGAAAGAGGCAGAAAUGGUGAGAGAAAAAGACAACAUGGAUAACAAGAUGGCUAGGCUCAAAGAGGAAGAGGAUAGAAUGCGGGAAGAAAUAGGAAGGAAGAUGGACAUCUUAAAGCAGGAAAGUUGUGAAAUCAAAAGACUUAGAGAUGAAAUUGACAGUGAAAAGGACCAGCUGAAUGCAAAAUUGCUUGAGUUGGAAAAAAUGCAUGAAGAACUAGAUAGAGAGAAGAAGGAAGUGAAAGACAGGAAGGAUGAAACACUGAAAGAGAAAGAUCAGUUGGAAGAGAGGCGAGGUAAGAUAAGUAAGGAGAAAGAGGAAUUGGAUAUCAGUCUUGAACUGAUGAAAAGACAAAGGGAAGACUUGAUGAGCUUGAAGGCUGAAGCAGAAGUACAGACCGAGCCUAUGGAAACAGACUGGAAGGAAAAGCUCACGAGGGAAAGACAACAACUUGAAGAUGUAAAGGAGGAGAUAGAGAAGGAAAAAGAAGCCAUUGAGAGAAAGAAGGGAUUGACCAUGAAAGAAAGAGAUGAGUUUGAUCUGAAGAAGUCUGAAACACAGGGACAAUUGGAGGAAAUAGAACAAAACAAACAAGACAUUCGUGUGGAGAAGGAAAAGCUGGAUCAGAUCAAAGCUGAGUUAGAAAGACGGUCUGAAGACAUCAAUCAGCUCAUGGAUGAGACAAGACGGGAGAGGGAGAAGGUUGAAGAACUGGCUAUCCAAACUCAAAAACAAAGAGAAGAAAUGGUGGGUUUUAUGGAAAAGAACAAACAAAAGCAGAACGAACUGGAACUCAUGACUGACAAGAUUGAAAGAGAGAAACGAGACAUCGAAGACAGUCGGGAUGUGCUAACAAAGGAGAGAGAUGAGCUGGAACAAAUGAGGAGUGAGAUACAGCAACAGAGAGAGGAGACAGAAUCUCACAUGGAAGACCAAAGGAAAGAGAAAGAACAUUUGGAACAAAUGACGACGGACAUGAAAAAACAGUUGCUAGAGGUGGACAAUGACAAGGAAAUGAUACAAAGCUCAAUGGGUGAACUGAGAGUGAAAGAGGCAGAAAUGGUGAGAGAAAAAGACAACAUGGAUAACAAGAUGGCUAGGCUCAAAGAGGAAGAGGAUAGAAUGCGGGAAGAAAUAGGAAGGAAGAUGGACAUCUUAAAGCAGGAAAGUUGUGAAAUCAAAAGACUUAGAGAUGAAAUUGACAGUGAAAAGGACCAGCUGAAUGCAAAAUUGCUUGAGUUGGAAAAAAUGCAUGAAGAACUAGAUAGAGAGAAGAAGGAAGUGAAAGACAGGAAGGAUGAAACACUGAAAGAGAAAGAUCAGUUGGAAGAGAGGCGAGGUAAGAUAAGUAAGGAGAAAGAGGAAUUGGAUAUCAGUCUUGAACUGAUGAAAAGACAAAGGGAAGACUUGAUGAGCUUGAAGGCUGAAGCAGAAGUACAGACCGAGCCUAUGGAAACAGACUGGAAGGAAAAGCUCACGAGGGAAAGACAACAACUUGAAGAUGUAAAGGAGGAGAUACAGAAGGAAAAAGAAGCCCUUGAGAGAAAGAAGGGAUUGACCAUGAAAGAAAGAGAUGAGUUUGAUCUGAUGAAGUCUGAAACCCAGGGACAAUUGGAGGAAAUAGAACAAAACAAACAAGACAUUCGUGUGGAGAAGGAAAAGCUGGAUCAGAUCAAAGCUGAGUUAGAAAGACGGUCUGAAGACAUCAAUCAGCUCAUGGAUGAGACAAGACGGGAGAGGGGGAAGGUUGAAGAACUGGCUAUCCAAACUCAAAAACAAAGAGAAGAAAUGGUGGGUUUUAUGGAAAAGAACAAACAAAAGCAGAACGAACUGGAACUCAUGACUGACAAGAUUGAAAGAGAGAAACAAGACAUCGAAGACAGUCGGGAUGUGCUAACAAAGGAGAGAGAGGAGCUGGAACAAAUGAGGAGUGAUAUACAGCAACAGAGAGAGGAGACAGAAUCUCACAUGGAAGACCAAAGGAAAGAGAAAGAACAUUUGGAACAAAUGACGACGGACAUGAAAAAACAGUUGCUAGAGGUGGACAAUGACAAGGAAAUUAUACAAAGCUCAAUGGGUGAACUGAGAGUGAAAGAGGCAGAAAUGGUGAGAGAAAAAGACAACAUGGAUAACAAGAUGGCUAGGCUCAAAGAGGAAGAGGAUAGAAUGCGGGAAGAAAUAGGAAGGAAGAUGGACAUCUUAAAGCAGGAAAGUUGUGAAAUCAAAAGACUUAGAGAUGAAAUUGACAGUGAAAAGGACCAGCUGAAUGCAAAAUUGCUUGAGUUGGAAAAAAUGCAUGAAGAACUAGAUAGAGAGAAGAAGGAAGUGAAAGACAGGAAGGAUGAAACACUGAAAGAGAAAGAUCAGUUGGAAGAGAGGCGAGGUAAGAUAAGUAAGGAGAAAGAGGAAUUGGAUAUCAGUCUUGAACUGAUGAAAAGACAAAGGGAAGACUUGAUGAGCUUGAAGGCUGAAGCAGAAGUACAGACCGAGCCUAUGGAAACAGACUGGAAGGAAAAGCUCACGAUGGAAAGACAACAACUUGAAGAUGUAAAGGAGGAGAUACAGAAGGAAAAAGAAGCCUUUGAGAGAAAGAAGGGAUUGACCAUGAAAGAAAGAGAUGAGUUUGAUCUGAUGAAGUCUGAAACCCAGGGACAAUUGGAGGAAAUAGAACAAAACAAACAAGACAUUCGUGUGGAGAAGGAAAAGGUGGAUCAGAUCAAAGCUGAGUUAGAAAGACGGUCUGAAGACAUCAAUCAGCUCAUGGAUGAGACAAGACAGGAGAGGGGGAAGGUUGAAGAACUGGCUAUCCAAACUCAAAAACAAAGAGAAGAAAUGGUGGGUUUUAUGGAAAAGAACAAACAAAAGCAGAACGAACUGGAACUCAUGACUGACAAGAUUGAAAGAGAGAAACAAGACAUCGAAGACAGUCGGGAUGUGCUAACAAAGGAGAGAGAGGAGCUGGAACAAAUGAGGAGUGAGAUACAGCAACAGAGAGAGGAGACAGAAUCUCACAUGGAAGACCAAAGGAAAGAGAAAGAACAUUUGGAACAAAUGACGACGGACAUGAAAAAACAGUUGCUAGAGGUGGACAAUGACAAGGAAAUGAUACAAAGCUCAAUGGGUGAACUGAGAGUGAAAGAGGCAGAAAUGGUGAGAGAAAAAGACAACAUGGAUAACAAGAUGGCUAGGCUCAAAGAGGAAGAGGAUAGAAUGCGGGAAGAAAUAGGAAGGAAGAUGGACAUCUUAAAGCAGGAAAGUUGUGAAAUCAAAAGACUUAGAGAUGAAAUUGACAGUGAAAAGGACCAGCUGUAUGCAAAAUUGCUUGAGUUGGAAAAAAUGCAUGAAGAACUAGAUAGAGAGAAGAAGGAAGUGAAAGACAGGAAGGAUGAAACACUGAAAGAGAAAGAUCAGUUGGAAGAGAGGCGAGGUAAGAUAAGUAAGGAGAAAGAGGAAUUGGAUAUCAGUCUUGAACUGAUGAAAAGACAAAGGGAAGACUUGAUGAGCUUGAAGGAUGAAGCAGAAGUACAGACCGAGCCUAUGGAAACAGACUGGAAGGAAAAGCUCACGAGGGAAAGACAACAACUUGAAGAUGUAAAGGAGGAGAUACAGAAGGAAAAAGAAGCCUUUGAGAGAAAGAAGGGAUUGACCAUGAAAGAAAGAGAUGAGUUUGAUCUGAUGAAGUCUGAAACCCAGGGACAAUUGGAGGAAAUAGAACAAAACAAACAAGACAUUCGUGUGGAGAAGGAAAAGCUGGAUCAGAUCAAAGCUGAGUUAGAAAGACGGUCUGAAGACAUCAAUCAGCUCAUGGAUGAGACAAGACAGGAGAGGGGGAAGGUUGAAGAACUGGCUAUCCAAACUCAAAAACAAAGAGAAGAAAUGGUGGGUUUUAUGGAAAAGAACAAACAAAAGCAGAACGAACUGGAACUCAUGACUGACAAGAUUGAAAGAGAGAAACAAGACAUCGAAGACAGUCGGGAUGUGCUAACAAAGGAGAGAGAGGAGCUGGAACAAAUGAGGAGUGAGAUACAGCAACAGAGAGAGGAGACAGAAUCUCACAUGGAAGACCAAAGGAAAGAGAAAGAACAUUUGGAACAAAUGACGACGGACAUGAAAAAACAGUUGCUAGAGGUGGACAAUGACAAGGAAAUGAUACAAAGCUCAAUGGGUGAACUGAGAGUGAAAGAGGCAGAAAUGGUGAGAGAAAAAGACAACAUGGAUAACAAGAUGGCUAGGCUCAAAGAGGAAGAGGAUAGAAUGCGGGAAGAAAUAGGAAGGAAGAUGGACAUCUUAAAGCAGGAAAGUUGUGAAAUCAAAAGACUUAGAGAUGAAAUUGACAGUGAAAAGGACCAGCUGUAUGCAAAAUUGCUUGAGUUGGAAAAAAUGCAUGAAGAACUAGAUAGAGAGAAGAAGGAAGUGAAAGACAGGAAGGAUGAAACACUGAAAGAGAAAGAUCAGUUGGAAGAGAGGCGAGGUAAGAUAAGUAAGGAGAAAGAGGAAUUGGAUAUCAGUCUUGAACUGAUGAAAAGACAAAGGGAAGACUUGAUGAGCUUGAAGGAUGAAGCAGAAGUACAGACCGAGCCUAUGGAAACAGACUGGAAGGAAAAGCUCACGAGGGAAAGACAACAACUUGAAGAUGUAAAGGAGGAGAUACAGAAGGAAAAAGAAGCCUUUGAGAGAAAGAAGGGAUUGACCAUGAAAGAAAGAGAUGAGUUUGAUCUGAUGAAGUCUGAAACCCAGGGACAAUUGGAGGAAAUAGAACAAAACAAACAAGACAUUCGUGUGGAGAAGGAAAAGCUGGAUCAGAUCAAAGCUGAGUUAGAAAGACGGUCUGAAGACAUCAAUCAGCUCAUGGAUGAGACAAGACAGGAGAGGGGGAAGGUUGAAGAACUGGCUAUCCAAACUCAAAAACAAAGAGAAGAAAUGGUGGGUUUUAUGGAAAAGAACAAACAAAAGCAGAACGAACUGGAACUCAUGACUGACAAGAUUGAAAGAGAGAAACGAGACAUCGAAGACAGUCGGGAUGUGCUAACAAAGGAGAGAGAGGAGCUGGAACAAAUGAGGAGUGAGAUACAGCAACAGAGAGAGGAGACAGAAUCUCACAUGGAAGACCAAAGGAAAGAGAAAGAACAUUUGGAACAAAUGACGACGGACAUGAAAAAACAGUUGCUAGAGGUGGACAAUGACAAGGAAAUGAUACAAAGCUCAAUGGGUGAACUGAGAGUGAAAGAGGCAGAAAUGGUGAGAGAAAAAGACAACAUGGAUAACAAGAUGGCUAGGCUCAAAGAGGAAGAGGAUAGAAUGCGGGAAGAAAUAGGAAGGAAGAUGGACAUCUUAAAGCAGGAAAGUUGUGAAAUCAAAAGACUUAGAGAUGAAAUUGACAGUGAAAAGGACCAGCUGUAUGCAAAAUUGCUUGAGUUGGAAAAAAUGCAUGAAGAACUAGAUAGAGAGAAGAAGGAAGUGAAAGACAGGAAGGAUGAAACACUGAAAGAGAAAGAUCAGUUGGAAGAGAGGCGAGGUAAGAUAAGUAAGGAGAAAGAGGAAUUGGAUAUCAGUCUUGAACUGAUGAAAAGACAAAGGGAAGACUUGAUGAGCUUGAAGGAUGAAGCAGAAGUACAGACCGAGCCUAUGGAAACAGACUGGAAGGAAAAGCUCACGAGGGAAAGACAACAACUUGAAGAUGUAAAGGAGGAGAUACAGAAGGAAAAAGAAGCCUUUGAGAGAAAGAAGGGAUUGACCAUGAAAGAAAGAGAUGAGUUUGAUCUGAUGAAGUCUGAAACCCAGGGACAAUUGGAGGAAAUAGAACAAAACAAACAAGACAUUCGUGUGGAGAAGGAAAAGCUGGAUCAGAUCAAAGCUGAGUUAGAAAGACGGUCUGAAGACAUCAAUCAGCUCAUGGAUGAGACAAGACGGGAGAGGGGGAAGGUUGAAGAACUGGCUAUCCAAACUCAAAAACAAAGAGAAGAAAUGGUGGGUUUUAUGGAAAAGAACAAACAAAAGCAGAACGAACUGGAUCUCAUGACUGACAAGAUUGAAAGAGAGAAACAAGACAUCGAAGACAGUCGGGAUGUGCUAACAAAGGAGAGAGAGGAGCUGGAACAAAUGAGGAGUGAGAUACAGCAACAGAGAGAGGAGACAGAAUCUCACAUGGAAGACCAAAGGAAAGAGAAAGAACAUUUGGAACAAAUGACGACGGACAUGAAAAAACAGUUGCUAGAGGUGGACAAUGACAAGGAAAUGAUACAAAGCUCAAUGGGUGAACUGAGAGUGAAAGAGGCAGAAAUGGUGAGAGAAAAAGACAACAUGGAUAACAAGAUGGCUAGGCUCAAAGAGGAAGAGGAUAGAAUGCGGGAAGAAAUAGGAAGGAAGAUGGACAUCUUAAAGCAGGAAAGUUGUGAAAUCAAAAGACUUAGAGAUGAAAUUGACAGUGAAAAGGACCAGCUGUAUGCAAAAUUGCUUGAGUUGGAAAAAAUGCAUGAAGAACUAGAUAGAGAGAAGAAGGAAGUGAAAGACAGGAAGGAUGAAACACUGAAAGAGAAAGAUCAGUUGGAAGAGAGGCGAGGUAAGAUAAGUAAGGAGAAAGAGGAAUUGGAUAUCAGUCUUGAACUGAUGAAAAGACAAAGGGAAGACUUGAUGAGCUUGAAGGCUGAAGCAGAAGUACAGACCGAGCCUAUGGAAACAGACUGGAAGGAAAAGCUCACGAGGGAAAGACAACAACUUGAAGAUGUAAAGGAGGAGAUACAGAAGGAAAAAGAAGCCCUUGAGAGAAAGAAGGGAUUGACCAUGAAAGAAAGAGAUGAGUUUGAUCUGAUGAAGUCUGAAACCCAGGGACAAUUGGAGGAAAUAGAACAAAACAAACAAGACAUUCGUGUGGAGAAGGAAAAGCUGGAUCAGAUCAAAGCUGAGUUAGAAAGACGGUCUGAAGACAUCAAUCAGCUCAUGGAUGAGACAAGACGGGAGAGGGGGAAGGUUGAAGAACUGGCUAUCCAAACUCAAAAACAAAGAGAAGAAAUGGUGGGUUUUAUGGAAAAGAACAAACAAAAGCAGAACGAACUGGAUCUCAUGACUGACAAGAUUGAAAGAGAGAAACAAGACAUCGAAGACAGUCGGGAUGUGCUAACAAAGGAGAGAGAGGAGCUGGAACAAAUGAGGAGUGAGAUACAGCAACAGAGAGAGGAGACAGAAUCUCACAUGGAAGACCAAAGGAAAGAGAAAGAACAUUUGGAACAAAUGACGACGGACAUGAAAAAACAGUUGCUAGAGGUGGACAAUGACAAGGAAAUGAUACAAAGCUCAAUGGGUGAACUGAGAGUGAAAGAGGCAGAAAUGGUGAGAGAAAAAGACAACAUGGAUAACAAGAUGGCUAGGCUCAAAGAGGAAGAGGAUAGAAUGCGGGAAGAAAUAGGAAGGAAGAUGGACAUCUUAAAGCAGGAAAGUUGUGAAAUCAAAAGACUUAGAGAUGAAAUUGACAGUGAAAAGGACCAGCUGUAUGCAAAAUUGCUUGAGUUGGAAAAAAUGCAUGAAGAACUAGAUAGAGAGAAGAAGGAAGUGAAAGACAGGAAGGAUGAAACACUGAAAGAGAAAGAUCAGUUGGAAGAGAGGCGAGGUAAGAUAAGUAAGGAGAAAGAGGAAUUGGAUAUCAGUCUUGAACUGAUGAAAAGACAAAGGGAAGACUUGAUGAGCUUGAAGGCUGAAGCAGAAGUACAGACCGAGCCUAUGGAAACAGACUGGAAGGAAAAGCUCACGAGGGAAAGACAACAACUUGAAGAUGUAAAGGAGGAGAUACAGAAGGAAAAAGAAACCUUUGAGAGAAAGAAGGGAUUGACCAUGAAAGAAAGAGAUGAGUUUGAUCUGAUGAAGUCUGAAACCCAGGGACAAUUGGAGGAAAUAGAACAAAACAAACAAGACAUUCGUGUGGAGAAGGAAAAGCUGGAUCAGAUCAAAGCUGAGUUAGAAAGACGGUCUGAAGACAUCAAUCAGCUCAUGGAUGAGACAAGACGGGAGAGGGGGAAGGUUGAAGAACUGGCUAUCCAAACUCAAAAACAAAGAGAAGAAAUGGUGGGUUUUAUGGAAAAGAACAAACAAAAGCAGAACGAACUGGAUCUCAUGACUGACAAGAUUGAAAGAGAGAAACAAGACAUCGAAGACAGUCGGGAUGUGCUAACAAAGGAGAGAGAGGAGCUGGAACAAAUGAGGAGUGAGAUACAGCAACAGAGAGAGGAGACAGAAUCUCACAUGGAAGACCAAAGGAAAGAGAAAGAACAUUUGGAACAAAUGACGACGGACAUGAAAAAACAGUUGCUAGAGGUGGACAAUGACAAGGAAAUGAUACAAAGCUCAAUGGGUGAACUGAGAGUGAAAGAGGCAGAAAUGGUGAGAGAAAAAGACAACAUGGAUAACAAGAUGGCUAGGCUCAAAGAGGAAGAGGAUAGAAUGCGGGAAGAAAUAGGAAGGCAGAUGGACAUCUUAAAGCAGGAAAGUUGUGAAAUCAAAAGACUUAGAGAUGAAAUUGACAGUGAAAAGGACCAGCUGUAUGCAAAAUUGCUUGAGUUGGAAAAAAUGCAUGAAGAACUAGAUAGAGAGAAGAAGGAAGUGAAAGACAGGAAGGAUGAAACACUGAAAGAGAAAGAUCAGUUGGAAGAGAGGCGAGGUAAGAUAAGUAAGGAGAAAGAGGAAUUGGAUAUCAGUCUUGAACUGAUGAAAAGACAAAGGGAAGACUUGAUGAGCUUGAAGGCUGAAGCAGAAGUACAGACCGAGCCUAUGGAAACAGACUGGAAGGAAAAGCUCACGAGGGAAAGACAACAACUUGAAGAUGUAAAGGAGGAGAUACAGAAGGAAAAAGAAGCCCUUGAGAGAAAGAAGGGAUUGACCAUGAAAGAAAGAGAUGAGUUUGAUCUGAUGAAGUCUGAAACCCAGGGACAAUUGGAGGAAAUAGAACAAAACAAACAAGACAUUCGUGUGGAGAAGGAAAAGCUGGAUCAGAUCAAAGCUGAGUUAGAAAGACGGUCUGAAGACAUCAAUCAGCUCAUGGAUGAGACAAGACGGGAGAGGGGGAAGGUUGAAGAACUGGCUAUCCAAACUCAAAAACAAAGAGAAGAAAUGGUGGGUUUUAUGGAAAAGAACAAACAAAAGCAGAACGAACUGGAACUCAUGACUGACAAGAUUGAAAGAGAGAAACAAGACAUCGAAGACAGUCGGGAUGUGCUAACAAAGGAGAGAGAGGAGCUGGAACAAAUGAGGAGUGAGAUACAGCAACAGAGAGAGGAGACAGAAUCUCACAUGGAAGACCAAAGGAAAGAGAAAGAACAUUUGGAACAAAUGACGACGGACAUGAAAAAACAGUUGCUAGAGGUGGACAAUGACAAGGAAAUUAUACAAAGCUCAAUGGGUGAACUGAGAGUGAAAGAGGCAGAAAUGGUGAGAGAAAAAGACAACAUGGAUAACAAGAUGGCUAGGCUCAAAGAGGAAGAGGAUAGAAUGCGGGAAGAAAUAGGAAGGAAGAUGGACAUCUUAAAGCAGGAAAGUUGUGAAAUCAAAAGACUUAGAGAUGAAAUUGACAGUGAAAAGGACCAGCUGAAUGCAAAAUUGCUUGAGUUGGAAAAAAUGCGUGAAGAACAAGAUAGAGAGAAGAAGGAAGUGAAAGACAGGAAGGAUGAAACACUGAAAGAGAAAGAUCAGUUGGAAGAGAGGCGAGGUAAGAUAAGUAAGGAGAAAGAGGAAUUGGAUAUCAGUCUUGAACUGAUGAAAAGACAAAGGGAAGACUUGACGAGCUUGAAGGCUGAAGCAGAAGUACAGACCGAACCUAUGGAAACAGACUGGAAGGAAAAGCUCACGAUGGAAAGACAACAACUUGAAGAUGUAAAGGAGGAGAUACAGAAGGAAAAAGAAACCUUUGAGAGAAAGAAGGGAUUGACCAUGAAAGAAAGAGAUGAGUUUGAUCUGAUGAAGUCUGAAACCCAGGGACAAUUGGAGGAAAUAGAACAAAACAAACAAGACAUUCGUGUGGAGAAGGAAAAGCUGGAUCAGAUCAAAGCUGAGUUAGAAAGACGGUCUGAAGACAUCAAUCAUGUCAUGGAUGAGACAAGACGGGAGAGGGGGAAGGUUGAAGAACUGGCUAUCCAAACUCAAAAACAAAGAGAAGACAUGGUGGGUUUUAUGGAAAAGAACAAACAAAAGCAGAACGAACUGGAACUCAUGAAUGACAAGAUUGAAAGAGAGAAACAAGACAUCGAAGACAGUCGGGAUGUGCUAACAAAGGAGAGAGUGGAGCUGGAACAAAUGAGGAGUGAGAUACAGCAACAGAGAGAGGAGACAGAAUCUCACAUGGAAGACCAAAGGAAAGAGAAAGAGCAUUUGGAACAAAUGACGACGGACAUGAAAAAACAGUUGCUAGAGGUGGACAAUGACAAGGAAAUGAUACAAAGUUCAAUGGGUGAACUGAGAGUGAAAGAGGCAGAAAUGGUGAGAGAAAAAGACAACAUGGAUAACAAGAUGGCUAGGCUCAAUGAGGAAGAGGAUAGAAAGCGGGAAGAAAUAGGAAGGAAAAUGGACAUCUUAAAGCAGGAAAGUUGUGAAAUCACAAGACUUAGAGAUGAAAUUGACAGUGAAAAGGACCAGCUGAAUGCAAAAUUGCUUGAGUUGGAAAAAAUGCGUGAAGAACUAGAUAGACAGAAGAAGGAAGUGAAAGACAGGAAGGAUGAAACACUGAAAGAGAAAGAUCAGUUGGAAGAGAGGCGAGGUAAGAUAAGUAAGGAGAAAGAGGAAUUGGAUAUCAGUCUUGAACUGAUGAAAAGACAAAGGGAAGACUUGACGAGCUUGAAGGCUGAAGCAGAAGUACAGACCGAACCUAUGGAAACAGACUGGAAGGAAAAGCUCACGAGGGAAAGACAACAACUUCAAGAUGUAAAGGAGGAGAUACAGAAGGAAAAAGAAACCUUUGAGAGAAAGAAGGGAUUGACCAUGAAAGAAAGAGAUGAGUUUGAUCUGAUGAAGUCUGAAACCCAGGGACAAUUGGAGGAAAUAGAACAAAACAAACAAGACAUUCGUGUGGAGAAGGAAAAGCUGGAUCAGAUCAAAGCUGAGUUAGAAAGACGGUCUGAAGACAUCAAUCAUGCUCAUGGAUGAGACAAGACGGGAGAGGGGGAAGGUUGAAGAACUGGCUAUCCAAACUCAAAAACAAAGAGAAGACAUGGUGGGUUUUAUGGAAAAGAACAAACAAAAGCAGAACGAACUGGAACUCAUGAAUGACAAGAUUGAAAGAGAGAAACAAGACAUCGAAGACAGUCGGGAUGUGCUAACAAAGGAGAGAGUGGAGCUGGAACAAAUGAGGAGUGAGAUACAGCAACAGAGAGAGGAGACAGAAUCUCACAUGGAAGACCAAAGGAAAGAGAAAGAGCAUUUGGAACAAAUGACGACGGACAUGAAAAAACAGUUGCUAGAGGUGGACAAUGACAAGGAAAUGAUACAAAGUUCAAUGGGUGAACUGAGAGUGAAAGAGGCAGAAAUGGUGAGAGAAAAAGACAACAUGGAUAACAAGAUGGCUAGGCUCAAUGAGGAAGAGGAUAGAAAGCGGGAAGAAAUAGGAAGGAAAAUGGACAUCUUAAAGCAGGAAAGUUGUGAAAUCACAAGACUUAGAGAUGAAAUUGACAGUGAAAAGGACCAGCUGAAUGCAAAAUUGCUUGAGUUGGAAAAAAUGCGUGAAGAACUAGAUAGACAGAAGAAGGAAGUGAAAGACAGGAAGGAUGAAACACUGAAAGAGAAAGAUCAGUUGGAAGAGAGGCGAGGUAAGAUAAGUAAGGAGAAAGAGGAAUUGGAUAUCAGUCUUGAACUGAUGAAAAGACAAAGGGAAGACUUGACGAGCUUGAAGGCUGAAGCAGAAGUACAGACCGAACCUAUGGAAACAGACUGGAAGGAAAAGCUCACGAGGGAAAGACAACAACUUCAAGAUGUAAAAGAGGAGAUACAGAAGGAAAAAGAAACCUUUGAGAGAAAGAAGGGAUUGACCAUGAAAGAAAGAGAUGAGUUUGAUCUGAUGAAGUCUGAAACCCAGGGACAAUUGGAGGAAAUAGAACAAAACAAACAAGACAUUCGUGUGGAGAAGGAAAAGCUGGAUCAGAUCAAAGCUGAGUUAGAAAGACGGUCUGAAGACAUCAAUCAUGUCAUGGAUGAGACAAGACGGGAGAGGGGGAAGGUUGAAGAACUGGCUAUCCAAACUCAAAAACAAAGAGAAGACAUGGUGGGUUUUAUGGAAAAGAACAAACAAAAGCAGAACGAACUGGAACUCAUGAAUGACAAGAUUGAAAGAGAGAAACAAGACAUCGAAGACAGUCGGGAUGUGCUAACAAAGGAGAGAGUGGAGCUGGAACAAAUGAGGAGUGAGAUACAGCAACAGAGAGAGGAGACAGAAUCUCACAUGGAAGACCAAAGGAAAGAGAAAGAGCAUUUGGAACAAAUGACGACGGACAUGAAAAAACAGUUGCUAGAGGUGGACAAUGACAAGGAAAUGAUACAAAGCUCAAUGGGUGAACUGAGAGUGAAAGAGGCAGAAAUGGUGAGAGAAAAAGACAACAUGGAUAACAAGAUGGCUAGGCUCAAAGAGGAAGAGGAUGGAAUGCGGGAAGAAAUAGGAAGGAAGAUGGACAUCUUAAAGCAGGAAAGUUGUGAAAUCAAAAGACUUAGAGAUGAAAUUGACAGUGAAAAGGACCAGCUGAAUGCAAAAUUGCUUGAGUUGGAGAAAAUGCGUGAAGAACUAGAAAGAGAGAAGAAGGAAGUGAACAACAGGAAGGAUGAAACACUGAAAGAGAAAGAUCAGUUGGAAGAGAGGCGAGGUAAGAUGAGCAAGGAGAAAGAGGAAUUGGAUAUCAGUCUUGAACUGAUGAAAAGACAAGGGGAAGACUUGACGAGCUUGAAGGCUGAAGCAGACGCACAGACCGAGGCUAUGGAAACAGACUGGAAGGAAAAGCUCACGAUGGAAAGACAACAACUUGAAGAUGUAAAGGAGGAGAUACAGAAGGAAAAAGAAGCCUUUGAGAGAAAGAAGGGAUUGACCAUGAAAGAAAGAGAUGAGUUUGAUCUGAUGAAGUCUGAAACCCAGGGACAAUUGGAGGAAAUAGAACAAAACAAACAAGACAUUCGUGUGGAGAAGGAAAAGCUGGAUCAGAUCAAAGCUGAGUUAGAAAGACGGUCUGAAGACAUCAAUCAGCUCAUGGAUGAGACAAGACGGGAGAGGGGGAAGGUUGAAGAACUGGCUAUCCAAACUCAAAAACAAAGAGAAGAAAUGGUGGGUUUUAUGGAAAAGAACAAACAAAAGCAGAACGAACUGGAACUCAUGAAUGACAAGAUUGAAAGAGAGAAACAAGACAUCGAAGAAAGUUGGGAUGUGCUAACAAAGGAGAGAGAGGAGCUGGAACAAAUGAGGAGUGAGAUACAGCAACAGAGAGAGGAGACAGAAUCUCACAUGGAAGACCAAAGGAAAGAGAAAGAACAUUUGGAACAAAUGACGACGGACAUGAAAAAACAGUUGCUAAAGGUGGACAAUGACAAGGAAAUGAUACAAAGCUCAAUGUGUGAACUGAGAGUGAAAGAGGCAGAAAUGGUGAGAGAAAAAGACAACAUGGAUAACAAGAUGGCUAGGCUCAAAGAGGAAGAGGAUGGAAUGCGGGAAGAAAUAGGAAGGAAGAUGGACAUCUUAAAGCAGGAAAGUUGUGAAACCAAAAGACUAAGAGAUGAAAUUGACAGUGAAAAGGACCAGCUGAAUGCAAAAUUGCUUGAGUUGGAAAAAAUGCGUGAAGAACUAGAUAGAGAGAAGAAGGAAGUGAAAGACAGGAAGGAUGAAACACUGAAAGAGAAAGAUCAGUUGGAAGAGAGGCGAGGUAAGAUAAGUAAGGAGAAAGAGGAAUUGGAUAUCAGUCUUGAACUGAUGAAAAGACAAAGGGAAGACUUGACAAGCUUGAAGGCUGAAGCAGAAGUACAGACCGAACCUAUGGAAACAGACUGGAAGGAAAAGCUCACGAUGGAAAGACAACAACUUGAAGAUGUAAAGGAGGAGAUACAGAAGGAAAAAGAAGCCUUUGAGAGAAAGAAGGGUUUGACCAUGAAAGAAAGAGAUGAGUUUGAUCUGAUGAAGUCUGAAACACAGGGACAAUUGGAGGAAAUAGAACAAAACAAACAAGACAUUCGUGUGGAGAAGGAAAAGCUGGAUCAGAUCAAAGCUGAGUUAGAAAGACGGUCUGAAGACAUCAAUCAGCUCAUGGAUGAGACAAGACGGGAGAGGGGGAAGGUUGAAGAACUGGCUAUCCAAACUCAAAAACAAAGAGAAGAAAUGGUGGGUUUUAUGGAAAAGAACAAACAAAAGCAGAACGAACUGGAACUCAUGAAUGACAAGAUUGAAAGAGAGAAACAAGACAUCGAAGACAGUCGGGAUGUGCUAACAAAGGAGAGAGUGGAGCUGGAACAAAUGAGGAGUGAGAUACAGCAACAGAGAGAGGAGACAGAAUCUCACAUGGAAGACCAAAGGAAAGAGAAAGAGCAUUUGGAACAAAUGACGACGGACAUGAAAAAACAGUUGCUAGAGGUGGACAAUGACAAGGAAAUGAUACAAAGCUCAAUGGGUGAACUGAGAGUGAAAGAGGCAGAAAUGGUGAGAGAAAAAGACAACAUGGAUAACAAGAUGGCUAGGCUCAAAGAGGAAGAGGAUGGAAUGCGGGAAGAAAUAGGAAGGAAGAUGGACAUCUUAAAGCAGGAAAGUUGUGAAAUCAAAAGACUUAGAGAUGAAAUUGACAGUGAAAAGGACCAGCUGAAUGCAAAAUUGCUUGAGUUGGAGAAAAUGCGUGAAGAACUAGAAAGAGAGAAGAAGGAAGUGAACAACAGGAAGGAUGAAACACUGAAAGAGAAAGAUCAGUUGGAAGAGAGGCGAGGUAAGAUGAGCAAGGAGAAAGAGGAAUUGGAUAUCAGUCUUGAACUGAUGAAAAGACAAAGGGAAGACUUGACAAGCUUGAAGGCUGAAGCAGAAGUACAGACCGAAGCCUAUGGAAACAGACUGGAAGGAAAAGCUCACGAUGGAAAGACAACAACUUGAAGAUGUAAAGGAGGAGAUACAGAAGGAAAAAGAAGCCUUUGAGAGAAAGAAGGGUUUGACCAUGAAAGAAAGAGAUGAGUUUGAUCUGAUGAAGUCUGAAACACAGGGACAAUUGGAGGAAAUAGAACAAAACAAACAAGACAUUCGUGUGGAGAAGGAAAAGCUGGAUCAGAUCAAAGCUGAGUUAGAAAGACGGUCUGAAGACAUCAAUCAGCUCAUGGAUGAGACAAGACGGGAGAGGGGGAAGGUUGAAGAACUGGCUAUCCAAACUCAAAAACAAAGAGAAGAAAUGGUGGGUUUUAUGGAAAAGAACAAACAAAAGCAGAACGAACUGGAACUCAUGAAUGACAAGAUUGAAAGAGAGAAACAAGACAUCGAAGACAGUCGGGAUGUGCUAACAAAGGAGAGAGAGGAGCUGGAACAAAUGAGGAGUGAGAUACAGCAACAA
rnacentral:lncRNA from 1 species